GCCCUGGUGGUGUAAUCCGGUUCAGCAUGAAGCCCUGUCGCGGCUUCGAUUCGGGUUCAAAACAACCUUUUGCCAAAAGCAGUCGAAUGUGAGCGAGUUCGCAACGAGCUCACUCGCAAGUCACGGGAAAAGCAUGCAAUGUGGGAUUUCGCAUUGCUCAAUCCCACGGAACGAUGGUAAGGUUUAUGAAAGUCCCGACCAGGGCG
rnacentral:tRNA from 1 species